AGAGAGAACGCUGGCGGCAGGCUUAACACAUGCAAGUCGAGCGGGCGUAGCAAUACGUCAGCGGCAGACGGGUGAGUAACGCGUGGGAACAUACCUUUUGGUUCGGAACAACACAGGGAAACUUGUGCUAAUACCGGAUAAGCCCUUAAGGGGAAAGAUUUAUCGCCGAAAGAUUGGCCCGCGUCUGAUUAGCUAGUUGGUGAGGUAACGGCUCACCAAGGCGACGAUCAGUAGCUGGUCUGAGAGGAUGAUCAGCCACAUUGGGACUGAGACACGGCCCAAACUCCUACGGGAGGCAGCAGUGGGGAAUAUUGGACAAUGGGCGAAAGCCUGAUCCAGCCAUGCCGCGUGAGUGAUGAAGGCCCUAGGGUUGUAAAGCUCUUUUGUGCGGGAAGAUAAUGACGGUACCGCAAGAAUAAGCCCCGGCUAACUUCGCGCCAGCAGCCGC
rnacentral:rRNA from 1 species